UACGUAGGGGGCUAGCGUUGUCCGGAAUCGAUUGGGCGUAAAGCGCACGUAGGCGGCGAUUCAAGUCAGAGGUGAAAGCCCGGGGCUCAACCCCGGAACUGCCUUUGAAACUAGAUCGCUAGGAAUCUUGGAGAGGUCAGUGGAAUUCCGAGUGUAGAGGUGAAAUUCGUAGAUAUUCGGAAGAACACCAGUGGCGAAGGCGAAGCUGACUGGACAAGUAGUUGACGCUGAGGUGCGAAAGCGAUGGGGAGCAAAGCAGGG
rnacentral:rRNA from 1 species